rnacentral:rRNA from 1 species
UACGAGGGGUGCAAGCGUUGCUCGGAAUUAUUGGGCGUAAAGGGUAGGUAGGUGGUCUCAUUUGUCUGGGGUGAAAGCCCAGGGCUUAACCCUGGAAGUGCCCCAGAAACGGUGAGACUUUUGAGUCCUGGAGAGGGUCGUGGAAUUCCCGGUGUAGCGGUGAAAUGCGUAGAGAUCGGGAGGAACACCUGCGGCGAAAGCGGCGACCUGGACAGGCACUGACACUCAACUACGAAAGCGUGGGGAGCAAACAGG